rnacentral:rRNA from 1 species
UACGUAGGGGGCAAGCGUUGUCCGGAUUUAUUGGGCGUAAAGAGCGUGUAGGCGGCUUUACAGGUCCGUUGUGAAAACUCGAGGCUCAACCUCGAGACGCCGGUGGAAACCGUAAAGCUAGAGUCCGGAAGAGGAGAGUGGAAUUCCUGGUGUAGCGGUGAAAUGCGCAGAUAUCAGGAGGAACACCCGUGGCGAAAGCGGCUCUCUGGGACGGUACUGACGCUGAGACACGAAAGCGUGGGUAGCAAACAGG